AAUGGAAUUGCUGGAUCAUGUGGUAAUUCUAUGUUUAAUUACAUGAGGAACUUCAAAAGUGUUUUCUUCUACAGCUAUAUCAUUUUGCAUUUCCACCAGUAAU
rnacentral:pre_miRNA from 1 species